GACAGAGGUGCCGAGCGUUAGGCGGAAUCACUGGGCUUAAAGCGUGUGUAGGCGGGCGGGCAAGUACCUUGUGAAAUCCCACGGCUCAACCGUGGAACGGCUGGGUAUACUGCCUGUCCUGAGCCAACUAGGGGCGAGCGGAACAGACGGUGGAGCGGUGAAAUGCGUAGAUAUCGUCUGGAACGCCAAAGGUGAAAACAGCUCGCUGGGGUUGUGCUGACGCUGAGACACGAAAGCCAGGGGAGCGAACGGG
rnacentral:rRNA from 1 species